AACGAACGUUAGCGGCGCGCCUAACACAUGCAAGUCGAGCGAGAAGGAAGCAAUUCCUGUAAAGCGGCGCACGGGUGAGUAACACGUAGGUAAUCUACCUCGAAGUGGUGGAUAACCUUCCGAAAGGAGGGCUAAUACAGCAUGAGACCACGGUUUCGAAAGAGAUUGAGGUCAAAGCGGGCCACUAUACAUAAGCUCGCGCUUCGAGAUGAGCCUGCGGCCCAUCAUGGUAGUUGGUAGGGUAAUGGCCUACCAAGCCGAAGACGGGUAGCUGGUCUGAGAGGAUGAUCAGCCACACUGGAACUGAGACACGGUCCAGACUCCUACGGGAGGCAGCAGUGGGGAAUCUUGCGCAAUGGGCGAAAGCCUGACGCAGCGACGCCGCGUGAGUGAUGAAGGCCUCGG
rnacentral:rRNA from 1 species